UUCCAGAGAAGUUCUCGGGGCAAUCCAACUGAAUCUUGCAGCUUUCAAUGACUUGUCCCAAUCUUCUGAAUCAUGCUGAAUCGUGUUGCUGAUUGGUGAUGGCCUUUGGACUGGACUACUGGUAUCUAGACAACAAAGAGUGGACUCACCCCAAAGAACUACUUCUAAAAAGGUCAUUUCUCUGCUGGCAGUAGAGCGAGCAUACAUGGACUCCUACCCCCAAACUCUGGCUCUUAUAAUCUUUCUACCUCCUCGUUCCUGAUAUUCGUGAACCUCAGGAUCUUAUGUAGCUCAGUCAGGCUGGCCUUGAACAUGUGAUCCUCCUGCCUGUUAACUCCAACGGCCAAGGUGACUGGUGUAUCAGCAUACCGUACAGCUUCUGUGAUUUGGUUUGAAAAGACAUUCCCUUACCACAAAACUGCUCCAUUGUUUGCACUGGAUUGAGUUCAUUCUCAAUGUGAAGUGACAAGAGGGAUAUUUGCUGACGGGAGGAAGGUGCAUAAGAUGUUGAGAGGUCUGGGAACAAACAUCUCUCAGUGGAUGGCAAAAGUUACCCAGUGGUAGUGAAGGCACAGCAGGGGCACAAGGACCAUGGUCAUAUGUGAAAGGCUGUCUUGUUAAAAAGGCAAGCAGGGUUCUUCUAUUUCCUUCAUGAAGCAAAUUAUGUGCCAGUGGAUACAGAUAUAAGGUGGAGUCUGGCCAGGACCUCAGAAGCUGCCGGGCUGUUUCCUGUCACCUGAUGAAAGGAUGUAGGGGCUGGUGGGUGGUCAUUCACAGGACUGAUGUGAAGGCAUUGUUACUGUGUGUGUGUGUGGCAGGCUGGUUUCUAUGGUUUUUGUUUUUUUAUGUGUAUGGCUGUUUUGUCUAUGUGUUUGUCUGUGUACUACAUGCAUGCCUGGUACCUUUAGAAGGCAGAAAAGGGUGUUGGACUCUCUGGGACUGGAAUUAGAGGUUGCUGUGAGCCGCCAUGUGAGUGCUAGAAUUCAAACUCAGGUCCUCUGGAAAAGCAGCCAGUGCUCUUAACCACUGAGCUCAAAUGUUCACUCACUGUUCCCCAGUUCAAGGAGCAUCGAAGACCAGAACACAAAAUUUAGGCAUGAUCUACAGACUCUAGAUUCCCUUCCUAAUCACAUCUUUUUUUUUUAAAGUGGCUGAAGUCUAAAAAGGCUUUAGGAACCUGACAGCAUUCUCCCACAUACUUCCUCUCUAGUUGAGUGAGCUUAGGAAAUGCCCUUGAAAGUCUAGGAUCAAGAAUGUGAUCUGAUUAGAAAAUAAGCUAAGUUAGGAUUUAGGUACAUUUGGGGCUAAAAAUUGCUUAGAGUGAUAGAGGAAGUAAUCAAAAUAUUGAUAGUCAAGUAGAAGAGAAAAGCUUCUUUGGAAGACAGCAAAUGAAUCUGAAAGCCCUGGGACUUUUGUUUUACCCAUGUUUUUACACACACUGGUCUGUCUGUCUGUAUCAUUUUGCCCAUAUUUUUAUGUAUGCUUGUCUGUCUGUCUGUAUUACUUUAUGUCCCUAAUGGUACCCAGUUGACAUAGAAAUAAAUGAGAAUUCAUAAAUGAAGUUGCAAAUGCUUUUAAGUAAGACUUAUCUAAUAUUGUCAGUUUAAUAAACAAAGCUGUGCUUUCUGAUCAACAAAAUACUCUUGUAAUGACUGGCUGGCAGCACAAGGAAGUAAGGGUCAGCUGGCUUUAUUCAGUGCCUGAGAGUUUCCUUUGUUGUGGAGAAAACGGGAUGUUUUGUAGAGGAAGUUAAGAGAAUGGCGGGGUAUGUUAUGGGGGAGAAAGGUAACUAAAACUAAGUGUUUGGGUAAGCAAGGCACAUUUGGGAAAGCUAAGAAAGGGCUUUGGAAAGACAUGGCUCUUGGAA